GUGCAGCUUCCGGCCCAAAGGCCCCUCAACCGCUGCUCAUGACUCCAUGGAAGCGGCUGACUCACCGUGCAGCGCAGACCCCAUCGAGGCCAUCGUGCAGUUCGCCGCUGGAGCUCCGACCGGUGACACCGUCCACAUCCUCUUGUGAACCAGUUGAAGCUUGUACUUCUACGCCUCCUCUGCGCAGUUUUGCGUCGAGAACGAAGGACAUCAUAAGGCGUCUCCAAGCCAAGGUUUCAAAGUACCGGAAGACCAUCGCAAGGCUGCGCAAGCAAGAGAAGAAUAUGCCUCGAUCAGCUUCGGAAGCUCUUGACAUCAUUCGCCCUCACGUGACAAGACGAGUUAUUUCACCUACUGUCAAGCCAUGUUAAAUUAAGAUCCAAGGGCAAGGGAAAACGAUUCCCGUUAUGGUUGAAAAAGUUUGCUCUUCAUCUCAAAUUCCGUGGACCGCGGAAUUUGAGGUGUUUUGCAGGAUUCGAUUAUGAUGAAAAAUGUUUUGCAGGAUUCAAUUGUGCUGACAUGUCCGUUUCGUAAAUAGAAACUUGGAUAAAGUUUGCUUUCAUUCUCGCGUCUCUGGUGUACAGCUUGAAAAAUUCAGUGGGUAGGACUUCAUUCUGGAGAUGUGUUUCAGCCCUUAUGUUGCGUUUCAUAAGAUACCUGCAAGAGUAAAAUUAAUAUUAUUGGGAUUUUAUUGGGCCGUGCAGACUGCGCACUAGGCAUUUGUUGGGAUUAUUUGCAGCAAGUAGGUUGCACUCUACUGGUCUACUGUAGUGACUGCUUUUUUAGAUGGUCGUGUCUGUGUUUUUCUAUUAUGGCCAUGUGGAAUGUGUAAGUUCCCAUUUUGAUCUUUUUUAAUACUCUCUGAGGUCUUUCAUCUUGUAUGCAACUUCCUUUUCUUGUGGACAUUGUUUCUGCUUUACACAUAUGUGAAGCAAGAAGGAGAUUGAGAUCAGAGUGUCUACCGACCUGGGCAAGCCUGAAAUUCUCAGGGAAUUUUAGAUCACCUGGAAAGUCAAGGAAUUAUCAGGGAAACUGUCAAAAGGUUGACUAAAUCAAGGAAAGUGACCGGUGAAAGUGGCACGGUAAUGCGGAACGAAGCCCGGCGAUCAAGUGUCGCCACAGCUGUGCUGAAUAACAUUGCCCAAAAUGUUAUCCUUGGAAGGAAGAAGCAGCCAAGGAAUUUUAUCAAAAUAGUCAAGGAAAACCUUGAAAGAUCAUGGACUUUGGAA
rnacentral:lncRNA from 1 species